rnacentral:sRNA from 1 species
UACAUAAAGUUGAUUAAUUUAGUGAUCGAA